UCAAGCGCAAAAGGGCAUUUAGUGGAUGUCUUGGCAUUAAGAGACGAUGAAGGACGUGGCAGGCUGCGAUAAGCUAAGGGGAGUUGUCAACAAACUUUGAUCCUUAGAUAUCCGAAUGGGGAAACCCAACUCUUUAGAGUUAUUUAUUAAUGAAUACAUAGUUAAUAAAAGUGAACCUAGUGAAUUGAAAUAUCUUAGUAGCUAGAGGAAAAGAAAUCUAUUCCGUUAGUAGUGACGAGCGAACGCGGACCAGGCCAGUAACAAAUUUAUAAUAACUAGAACUUUCUGGAAAGUAAGACCAUAGUGGGUGAUAGUCCCUUAUAGGUAAAAAGUAAAUUUGUUCUCGAGUAGGGCGGAACACGUGAAAUUUUGUCUGAAAAUGGGAAGACCACUUCCCAAGCCUAAAUACUCCUUAAUGACCGAUAGUGAACCAGUACCGUGAGGGAAAGAUGAAAAGCACCCCGAUAGGGGGAAUGAAAUAGUAUCUGAAACCGAAUGCCUACAAGCAGUCAGAGCUCCUUUAGGGAGUGAUGGCAUACCUUUUGUAUAAUGGGUCAGCGACUUAGUCUGUGCAGCAAGCUUAAGCCGUAAGGUGUAGGCGUAGGGAAACCAAGUCUUAAUAGGGCGCUAGUUGUACGGAUUAGACUCGAAGCGGGAUGAGCUUAAUAUGAGCAGGUUGAAGAUGCAGUAACAUGCAUCGGAGGACCGAACCAGGAAACGUUGAAAUGUUUUUGGAUGACUUGUGUUAAGGGGUGAAAGGCCAACCAAAUUCCGCUAUAGCUAGUUCUCCGCGAAAACUAUUUAGGUAGUGCGUUGUGUGAAUGAUAUCGGGGGUAAAGCACUGGAUGGGCUAGGGGGAAGCGAUUCCUACCAAACCUAACCAAACUCUGAAUACCGAUACUCUAUGCACAGCAGACAGACUAUAGGUGCUAAGGUCUAUAGUCGAGAGGGAAACAGCCCAGAUCACCAGUUAAGGCCCCUAAAUAAUUAUUAAGUGGUAAAGGAGGUGGGAAGACUCAGACAGCCAGGAGGUUUGCUUAGAAGCAGCAAUCCUUUAAAGAGUGCGUAAUAGCUCACUGGUCUAGUAAUCCUGCGCCGAAAAUGAACGGGACUUAAAUAAUUUGCCGAAGCUGUGAGAUAUUUAUUACAAGUAAAUAUCGGUAGGGGAGCGUUCUGUUGUAGGUUGAAGCAUUAACGUAAGUGGGUGUGGACGAAGCAGAAGUGAGAAUGUCGGCUUGAGUAGCGAAAACAUUGGUGAGAAUCCAAUGCCCCGAAAACCUAAGGUUUCCUCCGGAAGGCUCGUCCGCGGAGGGUGAGUCAGGACCUAAGGCGAGGCCGAAAGGCGUAGUCGAUGGAUAACAGGUCAACAUUCCUGUACCGGUUAUGUUUUGGGAAGAGGGACGGAGAAGGCUAGCCAAGCCAGAUGUUGGUUACUGGUUCAAGCGUUCGAGGCGUUGAGGAUCGGCGAAAACGAUCCGAGCUGAGGCGUGAGUACGAGCUGCUACGGCAGCGAAGUUGGUGAUGUCAUGCUUCCAAGAAAAGCUCUAUACCCGUUAAGGCAUAACUGCCAGUACCCGAAACCGACACAGGUGGGGUGGUAGAGAAUACCGAGGUGCGCGAGGUAACUCUCUCUAAGGAACUCGGCAAAAUGACCCCGUAACUUCGGGAGAAGGGGUGCCACCGCAAGGUGGUCGCAGUGAAGAGGCCCAGGCGACUGUUUACCAAAAACACAGGUCUCCGCUAAGUCGCAAGACGAUGUAUGGGGGCUGACGCCUGCCCAGUGCCGGAAGGUUAAGGAAGCCGGUCAGCGUAAGCGAAGCUGGCGACUGAAGCCCCGGUGAACGGCGGCCGUAACUAUAACGGUCCUAAGGUAGCGAAAUUCCUUGUCGGGUAAGUUCCGACCCGCACGAAAG
rnacentral:rRNA from 1 species